AAUUUGACUACUUUGAAGGUGAACGACUGUAAGAGACUGACACAUGUAUUCACAGACAGCAUGAUUGCUAGUCUAGUUCAACUGAAAGUUCUAGAGAUAUCAGCUUGUGAGGAAUUGGAGCAAAUCGUUGCUAAGGAUAAUGAUGAUGAAAAGGAUCAGAUAUUUUCAGGAAGUGAUCUCCAAUCUGCAUGCUUUCCUAAUUUGUGUCGACUUGAGAUUAGAGGAUGCAACAAGUUGAAGAAGUUGGAGGUGGAUGGAUGCCCAAAGCUGACCAUAGAAUCUGCUACUACAUCAAAUGACUCAAUGAGUGGUCAAUCAGAGGUGCUGCUGAUUUGACUUGAUUUCUUGCCUCUCAUUUAGUUUUAAAAGUGCGCAAUAAUUACUAUGAAUUACAUCUAACAACUUGGUACCCUUGUUUUCUUUUGAUGCAGGGGUUUAUGAAUUUGAAAGAAAUAUCUAUUGGAAACUUGGAAGGAGUACAAGAUGUUAGCGUGAGCUGUACAGUUUAGGAAUUAAUGUUGGCGUGAGCUGUAGAAUCCAAUAUAGGAAUUAUAUUUUUAAUAUUCUGUAAUUGUAUAUAUCCCAAUAUAUAUGGGAUUAAUGUUACUUACCUAGAUAGUUAUCUUGGGAAGGGUUUCUCUAUAUAAGAGAACCACUCUGUAACGUUUGAAGAAUAAGAAAAAGAAGGGAAUACACAGGGCGGCUGCUCUCUGAUUUAUCAUGGUAUCAGAGCUACGUUCCAUUAUUUGUUUCUUGAAGAUCUAGCAAACAACCUAAGGAAAAUAAAGCAUGGCCACACCAAUUGACUUGAUUGAACAAGAACAACCGAAUACAGCUACAACUCUUGAUGAUCUCACGACGAGAAUGGCUCAAAUUGUAACCCAAAACCAGACCCAGACCCCAUCAGUAAUCUAUGAUACUGUUGCUGUACCGAUUGGUAUCAAACUUGAUGGUACCAACUAUGCUUUAUGGUCCCAAAUUGUGGAGAUGUAUAUCUCAGGAAAAGACAAGUUGGGAUACAUAAAUGGUGACCUUCCACAACCAGAACCGAAUGAUCCCCACUUCAGGAGAUGGAGAACAGAAAACUCUAUUGUUAAGGGAUGGCUUAUUAACUCAAUGGAGCCGUCUCUCAUAGGAAACUUUAUCCGAUUUUCCACGGCCAAACAGGUAUGGGACUCGAUCGCCACUACUUACUUUGAUGGAUCCGAUACUUCUCAGGUGUAUGAUUUGAAGCGACGAGUAACACGAAUGAAACAAUCAGGAGAGUCCAUUGAAACAUACUACAAUUGCCUCCAAGGCUUAUGGAGGGAAAUUGAUUUCCGUAGACCAAAUCCUAUGGAAUGUGCUGUUGAUAUUCAAAAGUAUAAUGCUUUGCUUCAAGAGGAUCGAGUGUAUACUUUUUUGGAUGGACUAGAUGAUAGGCUGGACAAUAUACGUAGUGAUGUGCUCCAACUGAAACCUUUCCCAACGGUUGAACAAGCUUAUGCCUAUGUUCGAAGGGAAGCUAUUAGACAGACGGUUAUGCUCACUAAUAAUGGAAAUUCUCCUGCUGCAGCAAUGGUUUCUAGGGGAGGGAAAGCCUACUUACCUCGACAGCAAGCACUCCAAAUAACCAGAUCAGGGACGUCUUCAUCAAGAGGGCGUAACAAUUAUCACCUAGCAAAGACUAAAGGACAGGUGGAGAGUGAAAGCAGUGGCUGUUCUCAUUGUGGAAACAUGAAGCAUACACGGGACACUUGCUUCAAACUGCAUGGCUAUCCAGAAUGGUGGAAUGAAUUAAAAACACGGAAGCAGAGGGUUGUUGCUGGGGACACAGGACAAGCAUCUUUGGCAGACACUAAGCCACAAUUAUCGUUAGCUCCACUUGUAGAAUCUGGAGACGAUGCCAUAAUUCUGCCUAAGGAUCAAGGUAAUACAGGAACUAAAACCGACUGGAUAGUGGACUCUGGUGCAACGGAUCACAUGACUUUUUGUUCAGGAGACUUUGCUAAUACUACAGAACCAAGGCGAACUGGUAUAACCAAUGCCAAUGGGGUUGUCUACCCUGUCACAGGAGCUGGAACAGUGCACAUAUCACCCUCCAUAUCAUUAACCAAUACUUUAUUAGUGCCUUCUCUAUCAAAUAAAUUGUUAUCUGUGAGCCAAGUUACCGAAGACCUAAACUGUGUAGCACUAAUGUAUCCAAAAUUUUGCCUUUUUCAGGAUAUUCUCACGGAGGAGAUCAUUGGGCGUCGUACUAAGAGAGAGGGGUUAUACUACAUGGAUGACUUUAAUUCCGGCAGAGUCAACACCGUGAGUCGAUCUUUACUGACAAAAGAAAACCAGAUUUGGCUAUGGCAUUAUCGGUUGGGACAUCCAUCUUUUAGCUACAUGAAGUAUUUAUUUCCGAAAUUGUUUUUGAAUUUGAAUUAUUCAGACUUUAAAUGUGAAACUUGCAUCCUUGCCAAGAGUCAUCGUGUAUCCUUUCCGAUUAGCUUGAAUAAAAGUGAUACUCCUUUUGCCUUGGUUCACUCUGAUGUUUGGGGACCAUCUCCCAUUACCACUGUCUCUGGCAUACGUUGGUUUGUUACCUUCGUGGAUGAUUGUACUAGGAUGACAUGGCUCUAUUUACUGAAGCGCAAAAAUGAAGUUUUUGAUGUGUUUCGUAUGUUUCACGCUAUGGUUCAUAAUCAAUUUUCAGCAAACAUACGGAUUUUUCGAUCGGAUAAUGGGGGAGAAUAUGUGAAUAAUAACUUUUCAGCAUUUUUUCACAGGAACGGUAUUCUCCAUGAAUUAUCCUGUAGUCAAACUCCACAACAAAAUGGAGUGGCAGAACGGAAAAACCGACAUAUUCUAGAAACUGCACGGGCAUUAUUAUUUGGAGCACAGGUGCCUAGUAGACAUUGGGAUGAUAGUGUUACUACUGCUGUCUAUUUAUUGAAUCGAAUGCCUUCAAAAACCUUGGACUUCAAGACUCCUCUACAGGUUUUGUCACGACAUGUUACUCUACCAUCUAUACUGUUACUUCCACCGCGUGUGUUCGGCUGCGUGACAUUUGUUCAUAUACAUAAACAUCAACGAACAAAACUUGAACCGUGUGCUGUUCGUUGUAUGUUUCUUGGGUAUGGCUCGAAUAAGAAGGGAUUCCGCUGCUAUGAUCCUAAAACCAAACGACUCUAUACUACAAUGGAUGUUACUUUCCUAGAGUCAGAAUAUUUUUACUCAUCCACGACAUCAACUUCUCCUCUCUAGGGGGAGACGUGGGAUGAAGAGAAGAAGUGGUGGAACACUGAAGCUGCUGAGAAUAUGGUAACGGUUUCAACCCCAGCUGAGACUGAAGCUGCUGAGAGUAUAUCCACGGGUCCAACUGAGGCUGCUGAUAUAGCCACGGUUCCAAACAUGGUAGCUGAAGGUGUUGCAGAGACAGAGUGCAUUAAUAACAGUAAGACAGUUGAUGAGGAGGACCAACAAACUGCACCCGACAGAAUGAGUAAAACCCCCUCUCUUGAAGUACCCGACAAUGAAACUCCUUUGCAUGAGGAUAUUCCUGAGGUAAUUUCUCCUACACCAUCCACCAGUAAUAUUUUGAAUUCUUCUGCUAGCUAUCACUUACCUUUCAGGCAGAACAGAGGCAAGCCUCCAGCCCGGUACUCACCAGAUAUGGCAGGAAAGAAAUCAAAGUACCCCGUCUCCAAUUAUGUAUCCACACAAAGACUGCCUAUGCUUCUCAAGGCCUUUGCAUACAAGUUGUCCUCCUGCCAUAUCCCUUAUGGAAUUCAUGAAGCAUUAGCAGAUCCCAAAUGGUCCCAAGCAAUCCAAGAAGAAAUGGCAGCCCUAGAAAAGAACAAAACAUGGGACAUUGUCACAUUACCACAAGGGAAGAAAACCGUUGGGUGUAAGUGGGUAUUCUCCACCAAAUAUAAAGCAGAUGGAUCCAUUGAGCGACACAAGGCAAGAUUGGUAGCGAAGGGGUAGACACAGACUUAUGGGAUAGAUUAUCAGGAGACGUUUUCUCCAGUAGCAAAACUGAACACAGUCAGAGUUUUGUUAUCCUUGACUGCAAAUUUAGAUUGGCCACUACACCAAUUUGAUGUGAAAAAUGCCUUCCUUCAUGGAGACCAUGAGGAGGAAGUGUAUAUGGAUAUCCCACCAGGAUAUACUUCAACCAAACCCGGAACUGUCUGCAGAUUACAACGAGCUUUAUAUGGAUUAAAGCAGUCACCACGCGCAUGGUUUGGUCGAUUUAGCAUGGCUAUGAGAAAGUAUGGUUUUCAACAGAGCAACUCAGAUCAUACCCUCUUCCUGAAGAAGCAACAAGGAAAGGUAAUUGUCCUGAUAAUUUAUGUAGAUGAUAUGAUCAUUACAGGAGAUGAUGAAGAAGAAAUUAAAAGAUUGCAAGAGCAGCUAUUUACCGAAUUUGAAAUGAAGAACUUAGGUGGACUUAAGUACUUCUUAGGGAUUGAAGUGGCUAGAUCAAAGCGGGGAAUUUUUCUCUCACAAAGAAAGUAUGUAUUGGACCUACUGACUGAAGUAGGAAUGCUUGACUGCAAACCGGCAGACACUCCAACCGUUCAGAAUCAAAAACUUGGAUUGUAUCCUGAUCAGGAACCAGCUGAUAAAGACAGGUAUCAACGAUUGGUAGGUAAACUGAUUUACUUAUCUCAUACUCGUCCAGAUAUUUCUUACGCUGCCAGCCUAGUUAGUCAAUUCAUGCAUUGUCCUAGCAAGGAUCACAUGGAUGCAGUUGGUCGAAUACUUCAGUACCUAAAAUCCGCUCCAGGAAGAGGACUUAUGUUCUUGAAGAAUGGUCAUUUGGAUAUUGAAGGUUACACGGAUGCUGACUGGGCAGGAAAUUUGUUUGAUAGAAAAUCUACAUCUGGCUACUUCACUUUCGUCGGUGGUAACUUGGUUACAUGGAGGAGUAAAAAACAGAAAGUGGUAGCUUUGUCGAGUGCCGAGGCUGAGUUCAGAGGAAUGGCUAAAGGCCUUUGCGAACUUCUUUGGAUUAGAAGACUACUCUCUGAAAUUGGUUUCACUCCUAAGUCAGGAAUGAACCUGUACUGCGAUAAUAAAGCUGCAAUUGCAAUUUCUCAAAAUCCAAUUCAGCAUGACCGGACGAAACAUAUCGAGAUAGACCGACAUUUCAUUAAACAGAAUCUUGAAGAAGGAGUGAUUUGCUUUCCUUUUGUUAGAUCAGAAGACCAACUUGCUGAUAUGCUCACAAAGGCUGUCUCCAACAAAAACUUUCGUGACUCACUUAACAAGUUGGGCAUAGAAGAUAUCUUUGCACCAACUUGAGGGGGAGUGUUAGCGUGAGCUGUACAGUUUAGGAAUUAAUGUUGGUGUGAGCUGUAGAAUCCAAUAUAGGAAUUAUAUUUUUAAUAUUCUGUAAUUGUAUAUAUCCCAAUAUAUAUGGGAUUAAUGUUACUUACCUAGAUAGUUAUCUUGGGAAGGGUUUCUCUAUAUAAGAGAACCACUCUGUAACGUUUGAAGAAUAAGAAAAAGAAGGGAAUACACAGGGCGGCUGCUCUCUGAUUUAUCACAAGAUUUAAUGCAAUUUGAACGUUUGGUAACUAAUAGAAGAGGUGGGCAUGAACUUUCACUCGUGAGUUUGGAAACAUUACAGUUGAACUUAUUGCCUGACUUGAGGUGUAUAUGGAAGGGCCUAGUGCCGAGCAAUUUGACUACUUUGAAGGUGAAAAGGUGUAACAGACUGACACAUGUAUUCACAGACAGCAUGAUUGCUAGUCUAGUUCAACUGAAAUUUCUAGAGAUAUCAAAUUGUGAGGAAUUGGAGCAAAUCAUUGCUAAGGAUAAUGAUGAUGAAAAGAAUCAGAUAUUUUCAGGAAGUGACCUCCAAUCUCCAUGCUUCCCUAAUUUGUGUCGACUUGAGAUCACAGGAUGCAACAAGUUGAAGAGUCUCUUCCCGGUAGCCAUGGCUUCAGGUCUCAAAAAGCUCCAGAUACUUAAAGUAAGAGAAUCCUCUCAAUUAUUGGGAGUAUUUGGGCAGGGUGAUCAUGCUUCACCUGUCAAUGUUGAGAAGGAGGUGGUGCUCCCUCAUCUGUUGCAGCUGAUUCUAGAAGAAUUACCAAGCAUUGUCUACUUCAGUCAUGGAUGUUAUGAUUUCAUAUUCCCUCGUUUGUGGAACUUGGAGGUGCGUCAAUGUCCAAAGCUGACCACAAGAUUUGCUACUACAUCAAAUGGUUCAAUGAGUGCUCAAUCAGAGG
rnacentral:lncRNA from 1 species